CCUUGCAAUUUCCAGUAUAAAGAUUUAUAAUUCGUGGGUCGCGCAUGCGAUGAUGAUUCUGAAGCCGUUGUGCAAUACUCAUUUUGGACCCGGGGGCGGUACCCGGCACCUCCACCAAUAAUACAUACGGGGGUGUUCUAGAUUCGACAGAUGACGAAAGACAAAUUGGUUGAAUCCGACGUGGUGUCGUUAAAAACUAAAUAAAAACUGAAUGGCGAUAGAAUCGCUGCGAACGACAACGUUCGCCUUGCAAUGGCUGCCUAAUAUGGCGUUUGAACGCGGUUGGCAAUCGUUAAUUGCGUUCGUUUAAGCUUUUGCGGGGUCCGCUGGAACCUGGCACCAGAAUC
rnacentral:tmRNA from 1 species